CCUACGGGCGGCAGCAGUGAGGAAUAUUGGUCAAUGGACGCAAGUCUGAACCAGCCAUGCCGCGUGCAGGAAGACGGCUCUAUGAGUUGUAAACUGCUUUUGUACGAGGGUAAACGCAUAUACGCGUAUCUGUCUGAAAGUAUCGUACGAAUAAGGAUCGGCUAACUCCGUGCCAGCAGCCGCGGUAAUACGGAGGAUUCAAGCGUUAUCCGGAUUUAUUGGGUUUAAAGGGUGCGUAGGCGGUCUGAUAAGUUAGAGGUGAAAGCCGGAGGCUCAACUUCGGAAUUGCAUUUGAUACUGUUCGGCUAGAGUGUAGUUGAGGUAGGCGGAAUGUAUGGUGUAGCGGUGAAAUGCUUAGAGAUCAUGCAGAACACCGAUUGCGAAGGCAGCUUACCAAGCUACUACUGACGUUGAGGCACGAAAGCGUGGGGAGCAAACAGGAUUAGAUACCCUAGUAGUC
rnacentral:rRNA from 1 species